CCUGCCCCUAGAGGCAUUGCUGUUAUGGCUGCUGUAUCACAUGUGUGUCAGUAGGUGGCAGAGACGAGACAGGCUGUGUCUAUGCUCAGUGUUCUGACCUGGGAUACCCCCGGAAAAAGGUGAGCCUAAGACA
ensembl:snoRNA Gm24433 predicted gene, 24433